rnacentral:sRNA from 10 species
UUUACAAAGAGUCUGUAAUCUGGCAAAAUGUCUAAUCGCGUAGGUCUGAAUAUAUCAGACCCAUUCUUAAAAUAAAGGAUGUCCAAGCGUG